rnacentral:rRNA from 1 species
CCUACGGGUGGCAGCAGUGAGGAAUAUUGGUCAAUGGACGCAAGUCUGAACCAGCCAUGCCGCGUGCAGGAUGACGGCUCUAUGAGUUGUAAACUGCUUUUGUACGAGGGUAAACCCCGAUACGUGUAUCGUAUUGACAGUAUCGUACGCAUACGGAUCGGCUCCCUCCGUGCCAGCAGCCGCGGGAAUACGGAGGAUCCGAGCGUUAGCCGGAUUUAUUGGGUUUAAAGGGUGCGUAGGGGGUUUGAUAAGUUAGAGGUGAAAUGUCGGGGCGCAACCCCAAACCUGCCUCUAAUACUGUUGGAUGAGAGAAUAGUUGCGGUAGGGGGAAUGUAUGGUGUAGCGGUGAAAUGCUUAGAGAUCAUACAGAACACCGAUUGCGAAGGCAGCUUACCAAACUAUAUCUGACGUUGAGGCACGAAAGCGUGGGUAGCAAACAGGAUUAGAUACCCGAGUAGUC